rnacentral:rRNA from 1 species
UACGAAGGGGGCUAGCGUUGCUCGGAAUCACUGGGCGUAAAGGGUGCGUAGGCGGGUCUUUAAGUCAGGGGUGAAGUCCUGGAGCUCAACUCCAGAACUGCCUUUGAUACUGAGGAUCUUGAGUUCGGGAGAGGUGAGUGGAACUGCGAGUGUAGAGGUGAAAUUCGUAGAUAUUCGCAAGAACACCAGUGGCGAAGGCGGCUCACUGGCCCGAUACUGACGCUGAGGCACGAAAGCGUGGGGAGCAGACAGG